AUCCAGCUGACGAGUUCCAAAUAGGGCGAAACGCGCGUCAUGGAU
rnacentral:hammerhead_ribozyme from 1 species